rnacentral:rRNA from 1 species
AUUGAACGCUGGCGGCAGGCCUAACACAUGCAAUUCGAACGAGUGGCUGACGGGUGAGUAAUGUCUGGGAAACUGCCUGAUGGAGGGGGAUAACUACUGGAAACGGUAGCUAAUACCGCAUACCAUCGGAUGUGCCCAGAUGGGAUUAGCUAGUAGGUGGGGUAACGGCUCCCCGUGGCGACGCUCCCUAGCUGGUCUGAGAGGAGGACCAGCCACACUGGAACUGAGACACGGUCCAGACUCCUACGGGAGGCAGCAGUGGGGAAUAUUGCACAAUGGGCGCAAGCCUGAUGAAGCCAUGCCGCGUGGAUGAAGAAGGCCGUCGGGUUGUAAAGUACUUUCAGCGGGGAGGCGUUACCCGCAGAAGAAGCACCGGCUAACUCCGUGCCAGCAGCCGCGGUAAUAC